CCAGGGGCGGGCAGCUUACCAUGCAGUCGAACGGCAGCGCGGGGCAACCUGGCGGCGAGUGGCGAACGGGUGAGUAAUAUAUCGGAACGUGCCCUGGAGUGGGGGAUAACGCAGCGAAAGUUGCGCUAAUACCGCAUACGAUCUAAGGAUGAAAGCAGGGGACCGCAAGGCCUUGUGCUCCUGGAGCGGCCGAUAUCUGAUUAGCUAGUUGGUGGGGUAAAGGCCUACCAAGGCAUCGAUCAGUAGCUGGUCUGAGAGGACGACCAGCCACACUGGAACUGAGACACGGUCCAGACUCCUACGGGAGGCAGCAGUGGGGAAUUUUGGACAAUGGGCGCAAGCCUGAUCCAGCAAUGCCGCGUGAGUGAAGAAGGCCUUCGGGUUGUAAAGCUCUUUUGUCAGGGAAGAAACGGUGAGUUCUAAUACAGUUCACUAAUGACGGUACCUGAAGAAUAAGCACCGGCUAACUACGUGCCAGCAGCCGCGGUAAUACGUAGGGUGCAAGCGUUAAUCGGAAUUACUGGGCGUAAAGCGUGCGCAGGCGGUUUUGUAAGUUUGUCGUGAAAUCCCCGGGCUCAACCUGGGAAUGGCGAUGAAGACUGCAAAGCUAGAAUCUGGCAGAGGGGGGUAGAAUUCCACGUGUAGCAGUGAAAUGCGUAGAGAUGUGGAGGAACACCGAUGGCGAAGGCAGCCCCCUGGGUCAAGAUUGACGCUCAUGCACGAAAGCGUGGGGAGCAAACAGGAUUAGAUACCCUGGUAGUCCACGCCCUAAACGAUGUCUACUAGUUGUCGGGUUUUAAUUAACUUGGUAACGCAGCUAACGCGUGAAGUACGCCGCCUGGGGAGUACGGUCGCAAGAUUAAAACUCAAAGGAAUUGACGGGGACCCGCACAGCGGUGGAUGGAUGGUGGAUUAAUUCGAUGCAACGCGAAAACCUUACCUACCCUUGACAUGGUCGGAAGUCCGGAGAGGAAUCUGGAUGUGCCCG
rnacentral:rRNA from 1 species